GCUGGGCAUGGUGGCGCGUGCCUGUAAUCCCAGCUACUCUGGAGGCUGAGGCAGGAGAAUCACUUGAACCUGGGAGGUGGAGGCUGCAGUGAGCCGAGAUAGUGCCACUGAACUCCAGCCUGGGUGACAGAGUGAGACUCUAUCUCAA
rnacentral:sRNA from 1 species